CAGUCGCCGCGGUAAUACGGAGGGAGCUAGUGUUGUUCGGAAUUACUGGGCGUAAAGCGCGCGUAGGCGGUUACUCAAGUCAGAGGUGAAAGCCCGGGGCUCAACCCCGGAACUGCCUUUGAAACUAGGUGACUAGAAUCUUGGAGAGGUCAGUGGAAUUCCGAGUGUAGAGGUGAAAUUCGUAGAUAUUCGGAAGAACACCAGUGGCGAAGGCGACUGACUGGACAAGUAUUGACGCUGAGGUGCGAAAGCGUGGGGAGCAAACAGGAUUAGAUACCCCAGUAGUCCCUGUCUCUUAUAC
rnacentral:rRNA from 1 species